rnacentral:rRNA from 1 species
UACGUAGGGGGCAAGCGUUGUCCGGAAUCAUUGGGCGUAAAGCGCGUGUAGGCGGCCCGGUAAGUCCGCUGUGAAAACUCGAGGCUUAACCUCGAGCUGUCGGCGGAAACCAUCUGGCUAGAGUCCGGAAGAGGAGAAUGGAAUUCCCGGUGUAGCGGUGAAAUGCGCAGAUAUCGGGAAGAACACCCGUGGCGAAGGCGGUUCUCUGGGACGGUACUGACGCUGAGACGCGAAAGCGUGGGGAGCGAACAGG